ACUACUUGAAGAUUUUUUUAGGUUUUCUUAGUAUUUGACUUUUGAGAAAAGGAAGUAAAUGAUCGAUCUAGGGAGCUUUGAAAUUCAAGCAUGUAGAUAGAGUGAAUAUAAACCUGAAGAGUGACAUAGCAUUUUUGUUUGCAAUAAGGGAAGUCCCAGUGUUACCUAAUCCUGAUAGUAAGUCAAGUACUUAUCAGUAGUGAGUUAAAUAAAGCUACUCUUAAACUAGCUUCCUCUUCAUGCUGGGAAUGUUCUCAGUCUUGUAUUGUUCUUACUGGAAUGAGACCUGUGUCCUCCUCAGGCCUGUAUUGUCUGGUUUUAGAAAUACUUUUGUGACUGGUUGGUGGCUUUAUUUUUAAUGUCCAGUAUCUAAGUUAAAUUUGCCCUUUACAAAUGUCAUAUUUAUUAUGAAACAAUGUAGAUCUUAUUAAAAUACUAGCUGAAUGAGUCAUUCUGGUUACCUUCAUGCCUUGCACCAGUUGCAACCACCAGUGUGCCACUCUCCUGAACUUCAAGGACAAAAUUGGAUAGUCAGAACAAAUUACCUGUCAAAUUCCUGGUUUUUUUAAUCAGAAUCCUAAUUUCAGUUUUAAUUUAGGUGGCAACAUCUACAACUGGACAGGUACCCCCUGGAUAACACAGUACAGAGUGGAUUUGUUUCCUUCUAUGACUUUAAAGAGAAGUAUUUCCUAAAGGUAUAUGCUGAUGCAUCAUGCUUGCCCCAGGUAGUGAUUGCCCAUCUUGUAUUUGCCCUUGUUUUUCCAUUUGGAAAAAGAUUCUUGCAUCAUAAGUGCUGUAAGUGCUAACGAGGUGAUAUCCACACCCAUUACAUUCUCUUCUCCCUUUUUUGUUGAAUUUGAAAUAUGAUUUGUGAGAAAGCAUUUUUUCGCUUAAGAAACUGAAGAACAGAGAAGUGUUUCAUACUUCUUUUUUUUUUUGUUUAAACUGUCUUUCUCAUGUUAUCAAGUUUUGUGAGUCUAACAGGGUUCUUCAGUAUAGGAAAUGUUUGUUCCAUCAGAGAGGUUCCCUAAUGCUUUCCUCUCUCAUCUGUCUUCUGGCUUGCAGGGGAGAAAACAGGAAUAGAGAGGUACUGAGGCAGUACUGUUUUCCUUGGAUUCCAAGUUGGAGAUUGGAUUCUAUUAGUACAUUUCCUAAUCUUACUUUGAGCGGACUCUCCAUCUCCUCCUCUCUGCUGAUAUGCAGUUUGGGUGUGUGGGAGUGCCACUCCUCUUUUCCCAGUGGAAGAAUCUCAGGUACCUACUCUUGACGAUUUUCUGGUCUGAAGAAACCUGGCAUGCCAUCCAGUCAAGAAGCAGGAGUGAGAGUAACAAAUGCAGUAGGAAUACCUAAACUGCUCUGUAUGCAAGAAGGAAAAACAAGAUGGGAAUAAGGUGUCUAUAGAGGAUUUGGGCCAUAUCUCUGCAUGCUUCCUGGCCAUAGCCACUGAAAAACUGAUGUUUUGCCUGCUGCACUUAGCUGAAUGUCCUGCUGUCUUAGAAGGUUACAGAUUUAGAGAUGCAUCUUUGCAUAGCCCAAGAAUGUAUCACUCGGCUGGUUUAUCAGUCACCUUUGAGGAUGUAUGUUGUAAGGCCUUGUGGUAUAAGAAGAAAUCAUGAUUCUUUAGUGGAAUGCUUUCUUAAUGAUCGUUAACAGUGUUUCACUCUUCAAAAGCAAAUCCAGUUUUAGGAUGAAUUAGACCAACUUUAUUCUUAGUGCAGUCAGAAAAGUCUACACAACUUUUGAAUUAGGCUAUUUAAUUUAUUAUAGUCUUCUGAAGACUGACGUGUUCAAAGCAAGUCUUUUUGGCAAGUUUUUUUGCCUUAUUGUGACAAAGAGAGGUAUUUUGGUUCUAUAUUGAUAUUUUAAGGGAUAGUUGUAUGUUCAUGGCUGAUUGCAGAUUUUUAAAAGAUUCAGCAGUGAUUCUCAUAGUUUUACUGUUCAAUCCUGAGCUGCAUUUUUUGGUUAUUAGUGUCUAUCUGGAUUAUUAUUACGGAGUCUGUAGAUGCAGUUCUCCUUUCCUCUGUGGUCACAGAUGCUGUUAUCACAUUGGGCUCUGAUUACCUCUACAGCAGUCCCUGUGGGUGUUAGAAGGAUUUCUUGAGAAUCAGGUAUGCUGUGAGGCAUGGUCUAGUAGAUACCGGUUGUCCGCACCUUUUAGCCCUUUUGAUGAUUAAGACAGCUUUGCCAAGUCAGGUGUUAACCUAAAUCGCUAAUCAUCUGUUUGAACUGUACUCUUUAAUUAUGAUCCACAAAAAUAAUGUCACUCAGGUAACGCUGCAUAUAACUACCAAAUAUGACUAAUACACUACAUGUUAGGUGUACAGUAAUAUAAUAUAAUUAAUACAACUAAUCCCUAUACUCCCAGGGAACUGUUGAAGCCCUGUAGCCCUGUAAUACAGUAUUGCCAUUGUUAGUAACAGGCCAUAAUCUUUGUACUGAGUUUGCAAGGCCUCAGGAGUGAGGCUUGUCAGGUUUGCUCUGUCUGAACUUUUUUGACAUGCCUGCAGCUUUGUUUGACUGGGUUUAAUUGUGAUAGCAGUUUCUCCCAUUGAUCGGUAUCUGUGGCUAAUUUGUUUUACUUUUGUUACCGUUGUAUGGUACCACCAAGAUUUUAUGGCUGUCAUGAUGUACUGCAGAGAAAUACAUGCCUGGUGCAAUAGCAGAGGCCUUGAGAAGUGGAAACACAGAAUGCAGUCUGCAGGCAUGGGAUGCAAAGAGACGGUGCACAGGCUCGGCAUUGGAGACAUACAGCUGAAAACAGCUCACCAAUGGACUCAUGCUCCAUGAUUUCAGAGGAUCUAGAUCCAAGUCAGUGAAGGAAACAAAUCUUUGUCAAGCAUCUCAAAUACCACAUGCAGCGGUAGAAAUCAAUAGGAAUCAAUAGAAUCAAUAGAAAACAUCAUGGUUUAUGGGCUCUGGAAUUGGCAGAGAAUGCAGCUGUUUAAAGGAAGCUGGACUGCUUCUUUGUCUCUGGAAAAGCAGCAAGUAGCCCCUGGACUUCAUGGCCAUCCUCUAUUUUGUGCAAUCACCCACAUUUCAGUUCUCUUAUGGCUAUCUUCUUUAGCCUAAGUGACCUUUAUCAUACAGCGGAUUAGCUGUUUGGGAAGCAGAAAAGGAUAUGAUUUCACUGAAACAGUAUUUUCCUGUAAUUAAAAAAAAAAAAAAAAAAAGCACAGUUCCUAAGUGAUAUGUCAAUAUUGUUCUGAUUAGGUAUUUACUGUCAUCUGAAGGCAAUUGUAAACCACAAUAAAUGCAGUUUUGCUUUUCUGUAUAUUCCUGUGAAAUUAUGUGUGUGUACAAAUGAAAAUAAAAAUAGUUCUUGGUUUCAGUUUUCA